rnacentral:rRNA from 1 species
ACGGAAGGCAGCAGUGGGGAAUAUUGGACAAUGGGGGAAACCCUGAUCCAGCGACGCCGCGUGAGUGAAGAAGUAUUUCGGUAUGUAAAGCUCUAUCAGCAGGGAAGAUAAUGACGGUACCUGACUAAGAAGCCCCGGCUAACUACGUGCCAGCAGCCGCGGUAAUACGUAGGGGGCAAGCGUUAUCCGGAUUUACUGGGUGUAAGGGGAGCGUAGACGGCAUGGUAAGUCUGAUGUGAAAACCCGGGGCUCAACCCCGGGACUGCAUUGGAACCUGUCAGGCUUGAGUGCAGGAGAGGUAAGUGGAAUUCCUAGUGUAGCGGUGAAAUGCGUAGAUAUUAGGAGGAACACCAGUGGCGAAGGCGGCUUACUGGACUGUAACUGACGUUGAGGCUCGAAAGCGUGGGGAGCAAACAGGAUUAGAUACCCUGGUA